GAGUAUGACAGAAGCUGGUAACAGAGAGGAGAAGGAUGGUACUUUUUGGUUGCUGAAGUUUACAAUUAAUUUUCGCCAUAAUAAGUUGACUGUUGGGGAACUGUGCUUCCCUGUGAAUUGCACACUUCAGCUGUGUCCCUGGCUCUGGUCACCCACAGAGAGAGUAAUUAUCCACAUAAGGAAAUGCCUAAAAACAAAGAAUAAUUAGAAGUAGUCUUUCAGAAGCAUGCUCGUUUGUGAAACUGGUGGGUCACAUUCGUUUUAGAAGCACAUCAACUGGGAUAUGGUCUGAGCCUGUGAUUAGAGCACUCGUUCAUUCAACCAGCAAACAUUUACUGAGAGCCGGCCACAUGCUGGACACUGUCCUAGGUGCUGGCGAGGUACUCCUAAGCAAAGAGAAAUAUGAGCCCUGAUGGUAAAUUUAAGAACUGGUUUUCCCCCAAACAGAAGCUCUGAUUUUUCAUUUUUGCCAGUGUAAAUAUGAAAAUUCAGAGUGUCAAUACUUCCACCAUAACCAGUUUCAAGCUACCCGUGUUCCUCAUUGCCUGGCACAUAGAAACCGGCAACCAUCAUUAUAGUCCUAUCUUGAUCCUAAUUAGCAUCGUUGGGCUUGCUGUAACAACAUAAAAAGAAACUCAUGACCUACAGGGGAAGUCUAAGAUGUACUCAGAGGUGUGUGUGGAGAAGAGUCUGAAAAUGCACACUGGGUGUGGUACGAUAACCUCAGAAAGAAAUAGGACAUUGCUCUUUCCUUUUUACUGAAAAUCUGUAAAAUGCAAUUUUCAUUAGUAUGCAUUUUUUAAGUUUUAAAGAAAGAAUUUACAGUGUCCAAGUGGAACAAGCAUCGCUUUCACAUGAUCUGGACCCAAGAGUGACCAAAUGCCGAGGGGAUGCGAGCCAGUUGUUAGGAGAGAGUCCUGUAGCCACGAUAUGUGAAUCAUUGCUCAAGGACUGUUCAGUUGUUUUCCUGGUUUGCAGUUUGGGUGGAGCAUGGGGGGCGAACAUUGUGUCCCUUCUACUGAAGCCAGUCUACAGGGCUUCCGGUGGACUGAAGAAGUAGAAGACAGUGGAUGCUGGGUGUGGGCCGGGGCUGCCGUGGGACUGUGGCUGCAGCAUCUCCCUGUGGCCCCUCCAGGUGGUCGGCUUGUCUCCCAAAGGGUGGUCACAAAGCAUCACCCAGGCCAAGAAAUGGAAAAUGAGACUCUACCUCUCUUGGUUGGCAAGAGUGCAUGGAACUGGAAUACCGAUGGGGCCAUUUUCAGAAAAGACAACCUGCUCCAAGAAUUUCUCUCCUUUUCGAUGUCAUCAGCACCCCCAGCUGCAGAGAAAACAUGGAAGUUAGGCAGGUGGUCUCCAUUGUCCAGUGGAAUCUUACAUUUCUGUAAGUGGAAAGCGGAAACAAAGGAUGUGUAUACUGAAUGUCUCAGGCAAUAACCAUCAGGCUGCCUUCCAUGCUGAAGAGCAAUGAUCACCUGGGGUCUGCAGACCCCCAGAGUCACGGAGAGGACAUGGAAUAAAGUGAGGGAGAGAGAGAC